GGCUCCAUGGUGUAGUGGCCUGCAUGGCUGUUUGUCGAACAGCAAGCACGGGUUCGAUUCCCGUUGGAGCCGCCG
rnacentral:tRNA from 1 species